UACGGGGGGAGCAAGCGUUGUUCGGAUUUACUGGGCGUAAAGGGCGCGUAGGCGGUCGUGACAAGUCACUUGUGAAAUCUCCGGGCUUAACUCGGAACGGUCAAGUGAUACUGUCGGACUAGAGUACAGAAGGGGCAACUGGAAUUCUCGGUGUAGCGGUGAAAUGCGUAGAUAUCUGGAGGAACACCGGUGGCGAAGGCGACAUCCUGGACCGGUAUUGACGCUGAGGCGCGAAAGCCAGGGGAGCAAAGCGGG
rnacentral:rRNA from 1 species